GACAAAACUAACUUACAAGUAACUUUUCAGCAAGAAAUAUGUCCUUGUUUUAAGUCAAUAAUUCCUUAAUAUUGGUGAAAAAGUACUAGCUCCAUUGGUAGAAUAUUUUUCAAAAAACAUGGAAAAA